rnacentral:rRNA from 1 species
GCGGCUACUGCUAUCAGGUUUCGACUAAGCCAUGCGAGUCAAGGGGUCGUAAGACACCGGCGUACUGCUCAGUAACACGCGGACAAUCUACCCCCAGGUGGAGGAUAACCUCGGGAAACUGAGGCUAAUACCCCAUAGUUGUCAUGUACUGGAAUGCUUUGACGAUGAAAGAAUUUCGCCUGAGGAUGAGUCUGCGGCCUAUCAGGUAGUAUGUGGUGUAAAGGACCACAUAGCCUAAGACGGGUACGGGCCUUGAAAGAGGGAGCCCGGAGAUGGACUCUGAGACACUAGUCCAGGCCCUACGGGGCGCAGCAGGCGCGAAAACUGUGCAAUGCGCGCAAGCGCGACACGGGAAGCCUGAGUGCCUUAACUAUGUUAAGGCUUUUCUUGAUCCUAAAAAGCUCAAGGAAUAAGAGCUGGGUAAGACGGGUGCCAGCCGCCGCGGUAACACCCGCGGCUCGAGUGGUAGUCACUUUUAUUGAGCCUAAAGCGUUUGUAGCCGGAUUUGUAAAUCUAUAGGAAAAUACUUCUGCUUAACUGAAGAAAUUUUGGAGAGACUGCAAAUCUAGGGACCGGGUGAGGUUGAAUGUACUUCUGGGGUAGGGGUAAAAUCCUGUAAUCCUGGAAGGACGACCGGUGGCGAAGGCGUUCAACUAGAACGGAUCCGACGGUGAGGAACGAAGGCUAGGGGAGCAAACCGGAUUAGAUACCCGGGUAGUCCUAGCUGUAAACACUGCCCACUUGGUGUUGCAUCUCCGGUAAGGGGGUGCAGUGCCGUAGCGAAGGUGUUAAGUGGGCCGCUUGGGGAGUAUGGUCGCAAGGCUGAAACUUAA